GCGCUCAUUUUGGCAGCACGUGUACUAAAGCUGAAACGAUUCGGAGAAGAAAAGCAUGGCUUCUGCGCAAGGGUGACACAAAAAAUCUGUAAGAAUUAUGGGCGUGUU